AUACGUAGGGUGCGAGCGUUAAUCGGAAUUACUGGGCGUAAAGCGUGCGCAGGCGGUUGUGCAAGACAGAUGUGAAAUCCCCGGGCUCAACCUGGGAACUGCAUUUGUGACUGCACGACUAGAGUACGGCAGAGGGGGGUAGAAUUCCACGUGUAGCAGUGAAAUGCGUAGAGAUGUGGAGGAAUACCGAUGGCGAAGGCAGCCCCCUGGGCCGAUACUGACGCUCAUGCACGAAAGCGUGGGGAGC
rnacentral:rRNA from 1 species